UUUGAUAUUGCCAGGUUGCUAUAACUGAUUUGCGAUUUAGGCAAUUCUGGCGAUCUGUCUAUUAUAAUAAUUUGUUAUUUAACAGUGAAAUUCCAAUAUGGUGUGGUGUAUUGUCAAAUCUUGUCCAAAUAGAACAGAUCAUUGUAACAAAACAGAAGUGUCCUUCUUCAAUUUACCGAAGAACGAAGUAAUUCGUGAGGGCUGAUUUCAGAAAAUCGAGGAGGUUAGGUUACCUUCAAAUAUAAAAAAUGCAAAGAUAUGUUCAGCUCACUUUGCUGAACAGUGCUUCCAUGUAGGAAGGAUGCAGAAAUUGG